rnacentral:rRNA from 1 species
CGAGUGGCGAACGGGUGAGUAACACGUGGGUGAUCUGCCCUGCACUCUGGGAUAAGCCUGGGAAACUGGGUCUAAUACCGGAUAGGACCAUGCUUUAGUGUGUGUGGUGGAAAGUUUUUCGGUGUAGGAUGAGCCCGCGGCCUAUCAGCUUGUUGGUGGGGUAAUGGCCUACCAAGGCGGCGACGGGUAGCCGGCCUGAGAGGGUGAUCGGCCACAUUGGGACUGAGAUACGGCCCAG